rnacentral:rRNA from 1 species
AGUCGGGUGGGGGAAUAACUACGACCGUAAAGGUUAGCUAAUACCGCAUACGACCGAGAGGUAGAAAGGCGGGGGACCGCAAGGCCUCGCGCGAUUGGAUGAGCCGACGUCGGAUUAGCUAGUUGGUGGGGUAAAGGCCCACCAAGACGACGAUCCGUAGCUGGUCUGAGAGGAUGAUCAGCCACACUGGAACUGAGACACGGUCCAGACUCCUACGGGAGGCAGCAGUGGGGAAUAUUGGACAAUGGGCGCAAGCCUGAUCCAGCAAUGCCGCGUGUGUGAAGAAGGCCUUCGGGUUGUAAAGCACUUUUAUCAGGAACGAAAAGCGUUGGAUUAAUACUCUGACGUGCUGACGGUACCUGAGGAAUAAGCACCGGCUAACUUCGUG